UACAGAGGGUGCAAGCGUUAAUCGGAAUUACUGGGCGUAAAGCGUGCGUAGACGGUAGCGUAAGUCGGGUGUGAAAGCCCCGGGCUCAACCUGGGAAUUGCAUUCGAGACUGCGUAGCUAGGGUGCGGAAGAGGGAAGCGGAAUUUCCGGUGUAGCGGUGAAAUGCGCAGAUAUCAGGAAGAACACCCGUGGCGAAGGCGGCUCUCUGGGACGGUACUGACGCUGAGACGCGAAAGCGUGGGGAGCGAACAGG
rnacentral:rRNA from 1 species